rnacentral:rRNA from 1 species
CCCUUAGAUGUUCUGGGCCGCACGCGCGCUACACUGAUGCAUGCAACGAGUUCUAUCCUUGGCCGGAAGGCCUGGGUAAUCUGUGAACGUGCAUCGUGAUAGGGAUAGAUUAUUGCAAUUAUUAAUCUUGAACGAGGAAUUCCUAGUAAACGCAAGUCAUCAGCUUGCAUUGAUUACGUCCCUGCCCUUUGUACACACCGCCCGUCGCACCUACCGAUCGAAGGUAAUGAUGAGCCCUCAGGAUUGUGGCCUCGUCGCGUCAGCGUCUUGGCUGCGAGAAUCUGUGCAAAUCCCUACCUUUAGAGGAAGGUGAAGUCGCAACA